ACAAAAACAACUUUUAGCAAUGGAUCUCUUGGUUUCCGCAUCGAUGAAGAGCGUAGCAAAUUGCGAUAACUAGUGCGAAUUGCAGACUUUGUGAAUCAUCGAGUUCUCGAACGCAUCUUGCACCUAGUGGUUUAUUCUACUAGGUACGGUUGCUUCAGUAUCACGAAACUCACCAACUCAACCUUUUGGGUUUGAAGAUGGAGCUGGACUUGCUAGGAUCGUUUGACGGUCUUGGUAGUCUGAAAUAGAGUAUACCAAAUGUCUUUUUGACCUUGUUUCAAAGAGAUUGGACUAUAAAGUGUACCUAGGUUCGGUAUGAUUUACCUAGUGUCGUCUGAUCUUUGGAGGUUAAUGUGAUUGGGAUUUUGGUGGAGGUGUAAAAAGGCCUCUAAAAUAUCUACCAAAACUGUGAUCUGAAGUCAA
rnacentral:sRNA from 1 species